rnacentral:rRNA from 1 species
GACGAACGCUGGCGGCGUGCUUAACACAUGCAAGUCGAACGGAAAGGCCCUGCUUUUGUGGGGUGCUCGAGUGGCGAACGGGUGAGUAACACGUGAGUAACCUGCCCUUGACUUUGGGAUAACUUCAGGAAACUGGGGCUAAUACCGGAUAGGAGCUCCUGCUGCAUGGUGGGGGUUGGAAAGUUUCGGCGGUUGGGGAUGGACUCGCGGCUUAUCAGCUUGUUGGUGGGGUAGUGGCUUACCAAGGCUUUGACGGGUAGACGGCCUGAGAGGGUGACCGGCCACAUUGGGACUGAGAUACGGACCAGACUCCUACGGGAGGCAGCAGUGGGGAAUAUUGCACAAUGGGCGGAAGCCUGAUGCAGCAACGCCGCGUGCGGGAUGACGGCCUUCGGGUUGUAAACCGCUUUCGCCUGUGACGAAGCGUGAGUGACGGUAAUGGGUAAAGAAGCACCGGCUAACUACGUG